AGUUGUGAAGUCUUGUUCUGGUUUGAUCCUCCAAGUCUGAGUGUUACGCUGUCUUUCCUGUUUAAACCUGCCUCGACCCCAGCCUGUCUUUGACCACCGAUCUGCCUCAGCCUGUGACUUCUCCUUGCCGUGCCUGACCCUCGCCUGGACCCUUACUACUCUGGUUUUCCUCUGAUGUCCUCUUGCUGGUGCUUGACCCCUGCCUGCCUGACCCUGAGUUAGUUUUGUGGACUUUUAGCUGUGCAUCACGCCUGUUGCACCGUCUGUGCCGAAUAAACUGUUGCACUUGGAUCCAGCUGUCUGCCAACUCCUGACAAUUAUCUGGGUUCCCCCUUUAUUUGUGGGGGUUGGGGACCGGAGACCUCUGCGAAUAAGGGAAUACAGGACACUGACGCUGCCUUCGUCCUCCAUCAGAGCAGAAACAAUCCCUCUCUUGAUGUUGAGGAUGUUCACUGGUUCAUCAGAGUCGGGGUAAAGCUGGACACGGCCGGCAGCCUCCAUGGUGAACUUCAGGGGGCUCCUGCAGGAAAAGAAAUGCACACCCUUGUUACACUUUUUCCAAUAGCCUACAAACUGACAACCCCCCCCACCCCAUCAAAGAAGGAAACAAUUUUGUGGCCCUCACAAGAAAAAAUGUGAGGACCUCUGAGGUAGAUGACCUGCACUGAAAUAAACUCAGAUUUAAAAAAUGUAAAUUAUUAAUUGUAAACCUGGAAAAAAAAAUUUUUUUAUCAAUUAUUAUUAUUAUUGUUACCGUAUUUGCCACCGCUUAUUAUCUACAAAUAAUCACAAUAUAAAAUCACACACAAAAUUGUACAUUUAGAGCGUUUAUUUUUAAUCAUUUGGACUAAAACUCAGUUUUUGUCUACCAUUGAAUUUUCUGCACUGUCAGUGUGAAACACUACCUACUUGCUUAUUUGGUAUCAUUUAAAUCAGCCCAACCGCACCUAUGUGACACUACUUUUAUUUUGUCAUUUUCCCACAUUGUUUUCACACAUUAGUCAUAAAAUCAAGCAAAAUCAGAAAAUUACAUCUAGAAAAAUGGGAUUCAUUUUACUUUGGAAACCCAAAAAAGUUUAAUACUGUUUUUACAACAUAGAAUUAAAGUUUUAGAUGUAGCUGUAAAAAAACAGCAAGAAUAUAAUUUGUCAACAAACUAAUCAAUAUGUUUUAAAUUAAAAUACAAAGAAAAAGUCACAGAUUCCUUUGGGCCACAUAUAUGGACAGUCUCUGUUGCUAGAAGAACAUCAGUGACCUCACAGCUCUAUGAUGUCAUCUUUCUUAUGUGGCUUCAGGUUUCAGGAAGUCCAAAAAAUAAGAAUCUCUCUCCCAAAAUCACUGCUGUCCAUUUGAGAUUUGUGUUUGGGAAAAAAAUAAUAGAAAGUUUGAUGCAGCUGGAUUUCAUGUCUGCUUGGCUGGAAUCUGCUCACAGGUGAAGGCAGGACUUAUGCACACAUUUUAGACAACGCCGGUGCUCGUUGUUGCAAAAAAAUUAAUGUCGGUCCACAUCCCGAAAUCAAAUGUUGAUCAAUUUAUUAGAUUUCCAUUAGACAGCUCCGUGCGUGCACUGCUCUGCAUUACAGCCGUCAGAUCCACGUUCGUCUCAAAAUAUUAGUCAUUAAAUUAAAAUAUCUCUUUUGUACAAAAACUACAAAUAAAUGCCAUAUUAUCUCUUUAAUUUAAUAAAGUUUCAAUCACUGAAUAUAAACAAAAGUUUAUUUUAGACUGAAUUUUAUUUGCUAAUAAAUAUUAUCAAGUUAAUCCUUUUUUAACAAAUUAACUUUCACAGUCCUAAAAUAAACAUUUACAGGA
rnacentral:lncRNA from 1 species